AGUCCGACAUCAGCAGAGCAGCAGAGUAACCCUGGCAUCACGACUCAGAGCUUGGCAGUGACUUCCGUUUCACAGAAACAUCUGGAACAGGGCUUGGCAUGUGGAUACUGUAUUAUGCUGGAAGCAGUGAAACCCGGGAGAGAAGGACCAGCAGAUGUUGUCACGUGCCUUGCUAAGCUCCUCUGAAGGAAGGGUGAUUGCUUUGUGAUUACAGAGCUGCUAGGAUGGAUGAACGAGGUCCAGGACUGCAGGACUAGCCAUGGCGGACGUCCCUGCUGACGCUUUGGAGACAGCAUCCUGGUCUUGUCUUUCCUGUAGCAGCUGCAGGGGUGUGGCCUCUGCUAAGGGCCUUCUUCGUCUCCUCUUUUCAGUCCUCACAUCCUCAGCCUGUGCAGCCGAUGAUAGCAUUAUCCCCAUUUUACAGACAAGGAAAAGGAGACGUUGAGAAGGAUUAAAUAAUUUUCUCAAGGUCAAGAGCUAGUAUGUGACAACGUUGGGAUUUGGACUGUGGCACCUGGGGCUGGAACCCUGCUCCCAAACCCUGCGCUGUCUCUGCUCAGCUCUGCACGCUGUUGGCGUAACAGAGCAGUCAUAAGCACAGGCUUUGGUGUGAAAUGGACCCGGAUUCUGCUGUGUGACCUUGGGCAGGUUACUUCUCUUUGCUUCCUUUGCCUUCUCUGUGCAAGGGAGAAGGUGUAGUGAACUCACGGGGUGGCAGUGAGGGCACAGGGAGGCCUGCCAUGAAGGGCUUGGCAGCCUUCCUCUGGAUGUCUUCGGGCUUCCAGGAGAUUUCGGCAGAACCUACUGGAAGCCGCAUUGGGCACUGCAGGGGUGUCAGUCCAGUCGUCCUUUCUGGAGUGAGCUACACUGUCCCCUGACUGUGUUGGAAAUACCCAACUCAGUGGGUCCCUGGGAGAACGACACCCUGAAGGUUACACAGAGGCCGAGAACAGAGGAGACAGUGAACGAGGCUAACGCAGACUUUCCCACACACUCUCGCCACCUCAAUUAUCAUUUCAGUAUUUCUUAAAAACAGAAAGGGUGUAUUAUGUAUGAGGAAGAACUGCUUUAAAAACACCAUUAUUCAUUUAAACUGUGCUUCAUGCUUUCACUGGCAAACUCCAACUGUCUUUUAAGACCCAGCUCACACAUCUCCCCUGGGUCACCCUCUGUGACUCCCCAGGUGGAAUGAGGCAGCCCUCCUCCAGGUCCUUACAAGGCAUCUGCACAGACUGAAAUGCCCAUUAGAGCAUAAUCUCGGCACUUCUCUGUCCGCCACCUUCCUCAACUCUUAAGCACCUCAAUGUCAGGCUCAGAUCAAAGUUGGCUGUGACUGAUGACAUGCCAGCUUUGUUCUACAGACUCUAUUGGGAGUUUCUAGUUCACAAGAACCUUACGAAGUUGAUGUCCUCCCUGUUUUAAAGAUGCGGAAACUAAGAUUCAUAGAGGCUUAGCGAUUUGGCAAAAGCAGCAGGCUAAGUGGAGGAGCUGGAUUUCACAGCAGUCUUGUAUUCCAGGGGCUGGGCUUGUCACCUGCGUAUAGUCUGUCUCUCAUCCCCAGGGCCUUAGAGUGCCUGGCACACGGUGGGAAGCCAGGAAAUGCUUAUUGUAUCUUUUCUCUUUCAGUUGAGACAGUCACGCAAAUGGAACCCACAAACAAGGUAACCUUUGAUUCCUGUCGUACCAGGUGACAAGUUCACAGUUGACCCAGAAGUGAUUUAUGAGCAUUCAACAUAUUUGAAAUAAUGAAAAUUUUAAGUGGACCAUAUUUUAUUCCCUGAUUACUCAAAUCAGAAUUUAGAAUAUAAUUAAAAUGGAAUUAAAUAAUCUAGCUUUAUGCUCUGUUUCUCCCUGUCAGUUUUGCAGUACAAUUAAUAUGAAUGCUGCUGCUUUUAUAUAAGGAAUAGUUAUGUUCAGUAAAAUGCUUACAGACAUUAACUUGGAAACUGUAUGCUAAAAAUGAUACCCAGCAGUUUGACCUGUACUCGUUACAUUUCCAGUGAAAGCAAGGGCUUCGGUGGUUUUACAGGAUAGGAUUUUGCUGUUUUUCUUCCUUAAAUGAUAAUCAGGUAUCCAUAGCUGUAAUUUAUGUUUUCACUGGGUCCUUUGGUUUUGUCCCGCCUCUCUAUUUAUUUCAUUUGGUGCCUCUUUCCAUCGGGGGCCAUGCAGAAGUGCCUGCCUCCCAUGUCCCCUUGGUGCCCAAGUUGCUGCUCCUACUCAGAACACGCCCCACGGACAGAGGAGGACAGAUGGACACUGCUGAGCAAGUAAUCCCCGUGCCUGAUGCCUGGUUACACUCUGCCCGUUUACUCCCAACCAGAGGUGGAUAGAGGACCCAGAAUUGUAGGUGACAUUGCCCUCCACCCAAGCCUUCUAUCCCCAAGGGAGAACAGCUCAAGACCAACAGCCCGCCUGCUCUAUCACCCCCCAAAAGAUGAGCACUUUUGUCAAAUCAGCCUUUUUGACCAAUUGGCCAGGCACUCUAUGUAAAUUUCUGACAUUUUCAAAGCUGUCUUUUUUAUAAACAUUUCAGUGUAAAAAUACUGGAGUGCAAGAUAUUGUCUGUGCUUCUAGGCCUAAAAAAUGCAUAUGCCUUAUUAAAUUGGAAUUUCCGGGCAAUUUAUCUAUAAUGUGAACUUUGCUUGU